AGACUAUAUAUAACACUGAGGCAAAAAUCUCCCCUUUGAAGGAUUGUUGGAAAAGGUCUUCCAUAGGUGACAAAAAGGCGAUUGUGACAGUGUCUACAUGAUACAAAAUGGGAGGUGAUGUGCCACGACACUAUAAGUCCAAUUCCUACAUCCUAUGGAACGGACUUCCUGAUGGGAUAGAAUCUGCUGGAAGAUCAACUAGUGGUCUAUUCUGGAGGCAACAGCAACCAUGACGUGUUGAUUCAGACACCACCACAAGACAGCAAAAACCAGAGUUAAAGGACUCAUCAGCCCAGGAAUGUAGACCAUCCAAAGAGAAGGAAAACUCU